rnacentral:lncRNA from 1 species
AGAACACAGUAAGAAAUGUACACUCCAUCAGGAGAAAACAGAACAGAACAAAGUAAGAAAUGUACACUCCAUAAGGAAAAAACCAGAACAGAACACAGUAAGAAAUGUACACUCCAUAAGAAAAAAAAAACAGUACAGAAUACAUUAAGAAAUGAACACUCCAUAAGGAAAAAAAAAACAGAACAGAAUACAGCAAGAAAUUUACAGAUCUUAACUAAGGAGCCAACGCAACAAAGUACACUAAACAAU